rnacentral:misc_RNA from 1 species
GCAACUCACUGCAUAUUUUGUGGAAAAUGUACUUCUUCAGUCUCUCCCCACUAACAACUUGAGCGGGAAAGUACUUUCCAACGAUGCGCACUAUGCGGUUUCCAGAUUUAUCAGAGCCCUCGAGGCGAAAGAAUUGCAAGAGAUCUAGAUCGGAGAAAUCUUCAUCGGACAAGAGAUACUGAGAGCAAUCGUGCCAGCUUUCAGGUUCUUGAUCUUCUUCUUCUUUGAUAUCUCUUUCUCGAUUCGUCAGAAAGGGCGUGGCAUCUAUCCCUAAAUCCGACGCCAGCACCAGAACUGAGAAAUCAUCCGUCGGCGUAGAUGAGCUCGCCAUUUUACUGUUGUUCGCUUGGGCGGUGGCUGAGGAUAUGGGUCGGAGAAGGAGGGGGGAUUGGUCCGAUUGGAUACGCGAGCGUGCUCCUGCUGCGCACACGUGAUACAUGGAUUAACAACA